rnacentral:rRNA from 1 species
UACGGAGGGUGCAAGCGUUAUUCGGAAUUACUGGGCGUAAAGCGCACGUAGGCGGUUUGUUAAGUUAGAGGUGAAAGCCCCGGGCUCAACCUGGGAACUGCAUCUGAAACUGGCAAGCUUGAGUCUCGGAGAGGGGGGUAGAAUUCCAGGUGUAGCGGUGAAAUGCGUAGAGAUCUGGAGGAAUACCGGUGGCGAAGGCGGCCCCCUGGACGGAGACUGACGCUCAGGUGCGAAAGCGUGGGGAGCAAACAGG